UACGUAGGGUGCAAGCGUUGUCCGGAAUUAUUGGGCGUAAAGAGCUCGUAGGCGGUUUGUCGCGUCUGCUGUGAAAACCUAAGGCUCAACCUUGGGCUUGCAGUGGGUACGGGCAGACUAGAGUGCGGUAGGGGUGACUGGAAUUCCUGGUGUAGCGGUGGAAUGCGCAGAUAUCAGGAGGAACACCGGUGGCGAAGGCGGGUCUCUGGGCCGAUAUUGACGCUGGAGGAGCGAAAGCGUGGGGAGCGAACAGG
rnacentral:rRNA from 1 species